AUUGAACGCUGGCGGCAUGCCUUACACAUGCAAGUCGAACGGUAACGGGCCUUCGGGUGCCGACGAGUGGCGAACGGGUGAGUAAUGUAUCGGAACGUACCUUUCAGUGGGGGAUAACGUAGCGAAAGUUACGCUAAUACCACAUAUUCUGUGAGCAGGAAAGCAGGGGAUCGCAAGACCUUGCGCUGAUUGAGCGGCCGAUAUCAGAUUAGCUAGUUGGUGAGGUAAAGGCUCACCAAGGCGACGAUCUGUAGCGGGUCUGAGAGGAUGAUCCGCCACACUGGAACUGAGACACGGUCCAGACUCCUACGGGAGGCAGCAGUGGGGAAUUUUGGACAAUGGGGGCAACCCUGAUCCAGCCAUGCCGCGUGAGUGAAGAAGGCCUUCGGGUUGUAAAGCUCUUUCGGCCGGGAAGAAAUCGUAUCAGCUAAUACCUGGUGCGUAUGACGGUACCGGCAUAAGAAGCACCGGCUAACUACGUGCCAGCAGCCGCCGUAAGAC
rnacentral:rRNA from 1 species